rnacentral:rRNA from 1 species
GCCGGCAGCUAGCUCUCUGCAACUCUCACAUGGUCGCCCACUGAAGCUAAGCAUGGCUGCGCCCGGUCAGUACCUGGAUGGGAGACCACAUGGGAAAGCUAGGUUGCUGCCGGAA